rnacentral:rRNA from 1 species
AGAGUUUGAUUCUGGCUCAGGAUGAACGCUGGCGGCGUGCUUAACACAUGCAAGUCGAACGGGCUUAAGACUGAAGCUUGCUUUGGACUUAAGUUAGUGGCGGACGGGUGAGUAACGCGUGGGUAACCUACCCUGUGCAGGGGGAUAGCAGCUGGAAACGGCUGAUAAAACCGCAUAACACGGUAGCACCGCAUGGUGCAGCCGUCAAAUAUUUAUAGGCACAGGAUGGGCCCGCGUCUGAUUAGCUAGUUGGCGGGGCAACGGCCCACCAAGGCGACGAUCAGUAGCCGGCCUGAGAGGGUGAACGGCCACAUUGGGACUGAGACACGGCCCAAACUCCUACGGGAGGCAGCAGUGGGGAAUAUUGGACAAUGGGGGAAACCCUGAUCCAGCGAACGCCGCGUGAGUGAAGAAGUAUUUCGGUAUGUAAAGCUCUAUCAGCAGGGAAGAUGAUGACGGUACCUGACUAAGAAGCACCGGCUAAAUACGUGCCAGCCGCGGC